GCUUGUCUCAAAGAUUAAGCCAUGCAUGUCUAAGUAUAAACAAAUUUAUAGUGAAACUGCGAAUGGCUCAUUAUAUCAGUUAUAGUUUAUUUGGCGAUAAAAACUACUUGGAUAACCGUAGUAAUUCUAGAGCUAAUACAUGCAUCAAACCCCGACUUUUUGGAAGGGGUGUAUUUAUUAGAUGGAAACCAAUGCGGGGCAACCCGGAUUUUGGUGAUUCAUAAUAACUUUCGGAUCGAUCUUCGGAUCGAUGCAUCAUUCAAGUUUCUGCCCUAUCAGCUUUGGAUGGUAGGGUAUUGGCCUACCAUGGCUUUAACGGGUAACGGAGAAUUAGGGUUCGAUUCCGGAGAGGGAGCCUGAGAAACGGCUACCACAUCCAAGGAAGGCAGCAGG
rnacentral:rRNA from 1 species